GUUAGUGGAGGAUUUGACAAGUGAAUAAGAGGUAAAUAAAUGUGUAAAUAGAGCGUCUUGGCCAUAAGAAUCGAUGUCAACUCUACAUUGAGCAUUAAACUACAAAAGGAUCUGUUGGAGAUAUGAACCAUGGUCUGCUGUUUUAAUUUGAGCCAAAUUUGAAUGUGGCUAGGGAAAGGAAAUAAUGAAACAAUGGACAUACUUGUUGGCAGACAUGGUUUCAUGUGAAGGUCUGAAGCGAGGAUUCCCAACUAGGUCAUCUUGUAACUGAGAAGCAAGAGUUGGGUGAGCCAUGAGAAGAUUUCAGAGUAUCCACUUGGGGCAAUAGCCCUAUAUAUAUAUAUAUACUUCCAGAAAAGGUUGAAACUUUCCUCAUAUACGGUAGAACUGUAUAAGCACUAUAAAUUUAGGAAAAUGUUUAAACAUUGUUCAAGUUACUAGCUAAUAACUAUGUGAUUCCUUUUGAAUAAAAACCAAGAUUGUUUAAGUAAUUCUGGUGUUUUAAUGUCUUAAUGAAGCAGUUCAAAUUUUGAUUCUUAUGUUUGAGGAGUACAAGUUGGUGCAAGGGUGAAAAGUACAAUAUGAAUCUUUUAGAAUAAUGUAUUAUCAUUGUGGAGAAGAAAUCAUGCACUAUCUUUGAUCUUUGUGCUGCAGAGAGAAAAGAUAUCUUGUAAAAUUAAUCAAUUCAAAGCUGUAUGUUCAUCUAGGCUGUUUGACAUGAAAGGAUUUAGGAUCCAAGUUCAAUCAGGUUAUCAUUCCAUCAUCUUUAUUGAGAUAAUGUUCUUACUUCUUAGUGCUUUCAUCAUUAGGUCCUUCCAAGUUACCCUUGUUUUCAAAGAUCUUGAUGCAUCUCAUAAAUGAAUCAAUAACAAGCUUCUCCUUAUGCUUUGCAGUCCCUUUCAUGGUUUAGCACUUGAGAGUAUGUGAGUGUUCAUAGAAGAAGAUGUACAUUCCUUGUUAUUAUUAGGAGGGGAAAAGAUAUGUAUGAAUGAUUUAAGGUUUACAUCUACUCAAAUUUAGUAAGUUUUGUGGAUCUGUUCUCUAGCGCUGGCUUUUGGAAACCAAUAGCUACUAAAAAUGUUAGCCAGUGGUAGAGCAAAUUUAUCCAUUGCGAGCACAUUUAGUCCUCAACCCACUCAAGAACUUAAUCUUAUCUUCUGGUGCCACGUGAAUUUUGAUAUCCAAGAAGAACAUUGAGAUGGAAGGAAUCCAUAUUUCUAUAGUUGUGAAUAUUUCUAAAUCCUAUCUUUUGUUUGUGUGAGUCGAGUUCCUGGAAGAAGGGAAGGUAUGUGUGGGAGAUGGGGAAAGAACUAGAAGAUUGUUGAAGGUGGAGGAUGUAGCAGGACAAGGGUUUUUAUUUGCUAGUAUUAGCUUUUGCCAUUUUGGUUAGCAAGUUUACAGGCGAUUAUUGCAAGAAUACAUGGCAAGUUGGAGUGUAGUUGUUGAGAAGGUGCUUCAGGCAUUGGUAACCAUGGAAGCAGAAAGUAAAUAUUCAAAGGAAUUACUUUUGUGUUACCUAUGGAGAAGCUUUGUUUGUUGGGCUACUUGUAUUCUGAAUGGUGUCUGCCAUUAUUUGCUGAGAUAGUCUGGUCCAAUAUUUUGGCAUUUGGUUCCAUGAUUGCUGCACGAACUGCAUGCGACAAGCACAAGGAAAACUACCCAAACUUUUCUAUGGGCAAGUAGGAGUGGGUUUUUAAGAACAGGCUUAGAAAAAGAAACUGAAAGAAGUAAUAUUUGAAUAAUGUGUAUGAAGGUUGUCCAAAGGAAUGACUUUUAAAGGUCAUUUAAUGAAUUUUAGAAGAAUGUAUGCAUCCGAUUUUAUAUAUCACGUGAAUUCUGGCAAGCUUCUGCAUAAUGGCUGUUAGAUGCCGAAGCUGGAGCAUUGCAUGAUUUUCGGAAGUGGCAGUUUUGAUAGUCAAUGAAGAAGAAGAUUAUAUACAAUUGUUAGCUGUAAAAAUAUGUUGGACAAUGAUAUGUAGUUUGGCAUAGUUUAUUCAUAAGAAUGUAUGUUGAAUAUUAUCUCAAUCCCAUGCAUGUAAUAUAUGCAUAUAUAAUGUACAGCUUACAGAUGAACUGGUCCACAAGUUGUUCUCUCUCUCUCUCUCUCUCCCCUCCCCCUCUCCUUCUCUUUCUCCCUCUCCCUCUCUCCCCUUUUCCACAAUUGUCCUUAGAAGGGAAAACUAAGAAGCAUAUUUUAGUAGUAGGAUACACUUGAAGGGCCAAUAGAUCGUUUUUUGGAACAUAUCGUAGGUCUUAUUUCUUAUUCUUCUCUUUCACUUCCUGGAAGCUAUAUCACUUUCAAAUUCCUCUUCAUCUUUGCAGUGUUAACCGCUUGCUUUUGUUUAUACCUUCUUUCUUUAUUCUGGAUUUGAUCUUUUCGUCAUGUGGAGCAUAGUUUUAAUUUUUUUUUAUCUUUUCAUUUUCUGUGCUUUACUUUCGGUUUUGCAUUUCAUAUUAACAUCACUUGAAAGAUUGCGUGCAUGUAUGCAUCCUUUCAGAGUUUCAGCUUCGAAUUUGCACAUUUUGAAUCAAUCGAGUGCAUGUUUGUGAAAUUAUAGUGGACAAAGCCUCUUCUCUUUUUACUUAAAAAUGCAGUUGUCUAUGCUUGAAGCUGUGCAAACUCUACCACCCACACCCCAAUCUUUUCCCUAGAGGAUGAGUCCCAUCUUAUUAGGUCACUCUGCAGUUCUUCAUCAGUGCUUUCUGUUAAUGUUGUUUCAGGCAUUCAACAAAGUUUCUGAUUUCCGAAAUGUAAUUCUUAACUUGCUCAUUGAUGGCAUAGUCUUUUUAUUUCAAGUAACAAGAUGACUUAACCCUAUGUGGGGGUGUAAAUGCAGCUUGCAGUCAGUUUACCAUUGCAAAAGAAUCUUUGUUCCCAUUUAAAAUCAGUCCUGGAGGCUACAUGAAACCUAUAAUCCUUAUAAUUUAUUUCCAGCAACUUCUGCAGGAUUUUGCUAUGGUGCCUAGAGAAUGGUGAAUUUGUCAAACUUUUCAGCAGAGACUGUGACUAUUUUCAUGAGGCUUUGACAAUUAGUUUUAUGGUUUGAAUCAGCAUCUUGAAUCCUGUGACUUGGCUAAAAUUAGUGACUUAAGUGCCGGUUAAAGGUCAGGUUCUGGGUUAGGAAUUUGCACCUCCUGCAUUAUAGUUCUGCUUGUGGCCAAAAGUUUUUACAUAAAUCUUAGUAAAGCUUUGUUCUGAUCGCAAAUUUUUUAUUAGUUUUAAUUAAACCAGCAUUUUGUAUCAUGCUUAUUAUGAUGAUUUAAGGAUUAUCAAACUGCCUUUUCCAGGUUAUAUCGAGUUUCUCUCCCCUGCUUUUGGCUGGUUGUGAAGAAGAUCUCGUUUGUCUUUUGAAAGAGGAUAAUGAAAUAAUUAAAGAAGGUAUUACUCAUGUUUUGGCGAGGGCUGGUGGAAUCAUUCGUGAACAGCUGGCGCUGACUUCAAGGUGCAACUGGUUAAACUUAUAAGAUGAAAUUAAGCAUUGUUACUGAAACACGGGUUUUGAUGUGCAACUGGUUAUACUUGUAUGUGGACAUAGCUAUCACUGAAAUAUGGUUUUUGAUAUUCUUUUUUUUGUUUUUGUUUUCAGUUCUGUUGACCUACUGUUAGAAAGGCUAUGUUUAGAGGGUACACGGAAACAGGCAAAAUAUUCUGUACAGGCGCUCGCAGCAAUAACUAAAGAUGAUGGUCUGAAGUCCCUCUCUGUUCUAUACAAGGUUUUCUUGGUCAUAAUUCAUUGUCCAUUAUUUUUUUCAUCUAUCGAACAUUUUUCUUCAAGAAACCUCUUAUUAUUGAUGAGAGUUGCAUUAAAUGGCAUUUACAACUGUGUUUACAGAGGCUUGUGGAUAUGUUGGAGGAGAAAAGACACUUACCAGCCAUAUUGCAAUCCCUGGGAUGUAUAGCACAGACUGCAUUGCCAGUUUUUGAAACCAGAGAGGAAGAAAUUGUAGGGUUCAUAAGGAGUAAAAUCCUGGAGAGUAGCAAUGUAUGGCCUUCCUUAUCAAAGUUGACAGAACUAUGUAUACUUUUUUCUUUGACAAUAUGAUAGGUAUUAAUUGUUUAAUAUUUCAUUAUUUGUAUCAGAUGGAUGAUGGGGUUUCUACACAAACGACUGAGUGGAGUGAAAGGAGUGAAUUUUGUUUAUUGAAGGUAAGUAAGUAUUUUUAUUUUAAACACUUAUUUUCUGGUGUUCAAAAUAUGAUUAUGAAUGUGCCAUACCCUGGUGCAACAGAAUCGUAUUAAUUGCUAUGUACAAUUUUUACUACACAACUCCACUUGCAUUAUUUCCCUCAUGAGCCAUGUUUUGCAUGUAAACUGCAGAUCUUUGGCAUUAAGACUUUGGUGAAGAGUUACUUGCCUGCCAAAGAUGCUCAUUUACGACCGGGAAUUGAAAAACUAGUGGAGAUCCUAAAAAAUAUUCUUUCAUUUGGGGAUAUUUCAGAUAAUAUAGAAUCAAGGUAUUGAAGGAAAUCCAUUGACCUUCAUAUAUAGCGCAUUUGUCUAAAGUUUUUAUUUCCUAUACAUUUUUUGCCUAUUAUUAUAUUUGCCUGAAGAAUAAGGCCCUUUUACAGUGCUGCUGAUAAGGCCCAUUUGAAGCUUGCUUCAGCAAAAGCUGUUCUUCGGUUGUCAAGGCACUGGGAUCACAAGAUACCUGUUGACGUUUUUUAUAUGACCUUAAGAAUGCCACAGGUGGAUUCACAUUCUUUAUUGACUGUGUGCUUUUUUUAGUUUCUCCAACCAUGCCAUCCAAAAGCAAUUAAAGUUUCCUCUUCUUCUUCUUCUUCUUAUUUAGCUUACUCUGUGGUGUUUACUGGUUUUUGUCCUUGAUUUUUUAGGAUAUCCAUCCUCAAUCUAGGAAAUUAUUCCUUAACAAAGUGCAUCAGUAUAUUAAGGAAAGGCUCCUGGAUGCAAAAUAUGCUUGUUCCUUCUUGUUAAACAUAAACGGUUAUCACACUCCAGAAUAUGAAGAGGUCAAUAUUAUUUUUUUUUUAAACUUUGAAGUACAAGCGGCUAAUAGUACUAUGCAUUUCACUCUUACUUGCUUGAGUAAGGACUUUUUAAAAAAAAGUUUGUUCUUCAAUCUGCCAGUGCAAACAAAAUCUACUUGAAGUAGUACAAGUAUGCCAGCAACUUAAGGUACGACAACUUUCUAUGCAAUGCGAGAUGAACAUGCUGGUGGCUUAUCCAGAAUAUAUCCUUGCAUAUUUGGUCCAUGCCCUUGCACAUCAUCCUUCGUGUCCAAAUAUUGAAGAGUGCAUGGAUGUUCAAGCAUUUGAGCCCACUUACUGGUAUGUUGAACCAUAUUUAUUAAACUCAAAAGCCUUCUGUCUUUAUGAUUCACUUUUAGAGGGCCUUCCAUCAGGGCACAUAUUGGUUCUACCAUUGUAACUUUUAAAUUUUAAACUGCACAGUCUAAAACUUCGUAGAAAUGUAUAUAAUUGUUUUUUUCUUUUCUCUUGUUUUUGUUGGGUUAGUGAUGCAUUUUAUGAUUAUAUAUCGUACAAUCAUGUUCUUGUAGGGCAACUCCCUACUGGAAUUUCUAUAUUGAAGUAAUUUCUUCUACUAUGAAAAUUUUCAUGCUUGGACCUUAAGCUACAUGAUGAAAAAGCUGAUAAUCAUGUUACUUGGCUCAUAUUAUAGCUUCUGAGGCUCAUUCCUUGCUGAUCACUGUAUAUUGUUAUCCAGUUCAAUCCUACAAGAUAAUACCUUCUCUGUUGAAGUCUGGUAGGCUGUAAUUGAAAACCUAGCCUUUUUUUUGUCAUUUGUCAUUGACCACUGCAAAUGUGUAUUCUUGCUCCUCUGAAGCACGUGGUUUCAAUUAGAAAUUCAUGUUUAGAUCUCGUUAAAUCCAAUACUUCGAAGAUAUGUGAUAUUCUACGUGUACCAUUUCUGUUCAGUAAUCCAUUAUAUUAUAUUUCCUUUUGGGUGCUUCAGCAAUCUAUAUUUCUUUGUAUUUUGCCUAACAGUUUCAUCUGCACAAGAUGCUUUUUUAGUGCAUGGCAGAAUUGGUUCUUGAGGACAAAUAACUGCUCAAAUUGUACUUACAUUUCUAUAACUCAAAUAUGUAGAGUUUUUUAUUCAACAGUGUCUUUUGGGUGAUCAUGUGGAUGCUAUGUAUGUUACUUAAAGCAUAUGACAUGAGCUUUGCAUCCAAUCUUUGUGUUUGGCGAUGCAUUAGUCAAUGUUGGUCAAUGCCUUUUAUCUUGACACUAGUUGCCUGAUAGCAUAGUUUCAUGACACUAGUUGCCUGGUAGGUGUCAUAAUUCUGAGAAUACAGCUAAAAAGAGAAUUUGAGGAUGCUAUCAUGUGCUUAUUACUGGUUGAGGUGUGUCUUAUCUUGUGAUCGUAACUAUAAAAAUGUAGAAAUAAAACUGUGUGAAGCAAAGCUUCAUGAGAAACUUCGUCGUAUAUGUAUGCUAAUUGUUUUUUGGCUUCCAGGAGGUUGCAUUUGUUUCUUUCUACGUUGUUGCAUGGAGAUGAAGGUCAACAAUCUGGUAGUGUUUCCAACAAGAAAAAGGAGAGUUUUACUGCAAUUGUUUCUAUUUUGCACAGUAUUAAGAGCUCAGAAGAUGUGGUUGAUGGAGCAAAGUCAAAAGUACGUGAUUUUUAAGUCACUUAGUGCUGGAACUUCUUACUGUCAUACCGCAUAAUUGUGCAUUUUAGUUGAUAAGAAUCAUUGUAUAUCAUGAUGAAAAUUUCAUCUCUAUGGUUUGGUGUUAGAUAUUUGAUGACGAGUUUGAUGCCAAAUUUGCAGACAUUACAUGCUAUAUGUGAUCUUGGCCUCGCAAUUGCAAAGAGAUUGGUUCAAGACCCUACAGAUAUUUCAGUAAUCAGCGAAGUUCCCCUCCCAUGUAUGUUAUACAAGCUUGUUGAGAAAAACAAAGAUGUGAGCUCUGUGGUGAGUAUUUUUAACGUAAACAUAUAACCUUUUCCAAUGCCAGGUGAAUGCCAGAAAGGAAGAUCAAUAAUUUCAUGUUUUGAGCAUUCAUCUUGCUAUUAUUGCAAAGUUAUGUUAUUGUCUUGAUUAUUCUAGUGCAUUUUCUGGGGUGCCUUUGAUGUAAUCAUGAGCUGUGGUAGAACACAGGAAUGUUGUGAUUCUAUAUGUCUAAUUUAGAAUUAAUGCCGAGUUAUUUCAUAAUGCAUGUCAGUCAUCAGGCAUUUGACCAAAUAUCUUGACUAGGUAAUACUUAAUAAUGCUAUAGCUACAUAUCUUUGACCCCACGUCACAUCAGGUCUCCAGUAAUAGAAAUGUGAAAAUGUUAUAACAUUUUCCUUUUGUAGACAUACGGUGCAGUUUACCUGAGGCAGCCUUUGUUUUUUUUUUUCCCCCGGAAAUGGCUAUGUUAUAUGAGCGUGUAUCAAUGUUGUUUUUGUUGUUCCUUGUACUUUUGGACCAGUUUCAUAGCUGAAAAAGCUUAUAUGAUACAUGGGUUGACAUAAAAACUGUCUUGCUUGCUCUUUUAUAGCUUCAUGAAUUAGAGUCUUAUCUCAUUAUAAGAAGGUAGCAAGCAUGUUUCUUUUAGAAAUCAAUAUACCUAGUUGAUACAAAGUUGGGAUAUUUUUUUAGCUAUCAAUAUGCAGCCUUGUUAUCUUAUGUUUUCACCAACUAAUAUUGGACAGAAUAAUGUCAGCUAGUUCAUCCUGUUGAACGAGGUUCAAAUUUAAAGUUCGAACGUAUACUAAUUACCUCAAUAUCCUGCUUCUGGAUUUUAUAUUCUGUCAUAUAAUGCUCCUCCAUGUUGUAGCUACUUCUGUUUUUCUUAAAUGUUAUUUCUGGAUUAUUUUUUAUAUGAGAAACAUGAUACCAUCUUUAGUUUGCUGAGAUUGAGUGGAGAAAAAUUUUCUUGCUCUUGCAGUGUCCUGUUGUAUUGAUGGUAAUUUUCCUGUAAAUGUUGUAGGAUGCUGAUGAGCAGAGUUGGUUGGGUGGUGAGAGUGCCUUGGCCCAUUUCGAAGCGCUUAAAAUUGAAAAUAAAGAAAUGGUGAGUGCAUUCAUAUGGAAUUCAGGAACUUAGUUAUUUGCAUGCCUAAUACAAGUCUUGGAUUCUAAUUUUAAGACGUUCUUGUUCUGUGGAACUUUAGAUUGAUUCAGGUGCUGCCAAGGAUGUUAUGGCCCUAGAGGGGAGUGAUAAAGAUGGUGAUGAAGUGCCUCUAGGAGAGAUGAUGAAAAUUCUUAAAUCUCAGGGACCCAAGAAGAGGAAAACAAUCAAAAGGAACACUUCACCUUUUGAUAUUAAAAAAAUGGAACACGAAUUUGAUGUUCUAGGAGUUGUAAGGGAAAUAAAUUUGGAUAAUCUGGAAAGAGCUCAGAACAUGGAAACAGGGACCAAAGAUCCUGAGUAUUUUGGAAGUAGGCAGACGUCAAAAAUAAAUAAUAAUGAAAAAGUUACAGUAUCUGGAAAAAGAAAAAGGGACAAAACAACAAUUGAAGUAGCAGUGCCAACUCCAAAACGUAAAAGGUCUGUUUCUGUGCAAAGGUCUCAUUCUGCAAAGGGCCACAAGGGAAGCAGAGAAAUUCCUUCUUCACAUUCUAUUGAGAUGGAUGAGAAGACACAUAUCCCUUUGGAACAAAAGUUGUUCACAGAUAAAGGCCUGACUGAGUCUACUGAUUCAGACUUGUUAGCCUCUUGCCUGCCAAUGGUUAAAAGCAGCUCAUCUAGAAAUGGAAAAAAAGAUGCUGAUGGUUUGCAUGUUGAGAAACUUAUCAGCAAUGACCAAAAGGUAAUCUCCUUUCUUAUACACAGGCUAACAACUGCCAUUUUCAAGUCUAAAUUACUUUUUGCUGUCGGUUGUAUUGCAGGAAUCCUCCAGUCCAGUAGAUUCUAAUAAAAACUCUAGUCAACCCAAAAGCUUACUUGGUUCAAUUAAAAAGCGUAAAGUAAGAAGCAUUGCCGGAUUAGGGAAGGUAAUCUCAAAAUGUUUCUUUGGCCAACUUUUGAUAGUUGUUCUUUGUGAUUGUCCUAUGUGUUUAUUAUAUAAUUGCCACUGAUGGAAUUAUGUAAUUGCCGGUGAAUUAAAUUAGAUGAUAAACCUCACAAUGUGUUCUUUUACUAUAGUUGAAAUGGUAACCUUCACUCCUGACUUUUGAUUUGGUUCUUGUUUAAUUUACUUAAACCACAGAAAAAUAAUCUAAUCAGGGAUGAUUGAAUCUGAUCAUUUAUCCAAAAAGAAUGAUCCAGUGAUAAACCUGAUAUUCAUUAAACCAAAGUCGUUGAAGCACAUAUCCCAAAUAAUUAUCUUAUUCAUUUAAAAUUUUGGGAAAACAAGACUAAAACAAAAACCGUGGAUUAAUCGCACCAUCUGUUAAUGAAGCAAUCAAGUAUUUUUUCACGUAUAAAUGGCAGGUAGAGAAGGGGUUGGGGGUUGGGAGGGUAGCAAAGCCUGUUAGUUUGGAAUAGAAGAGGGUGGUGGGAUUUAAGGUUGGGGAUGAAGGAUAAAGCUUGCCAAUGGCAGUGGAUGGUGGCUGUUUGUGUAGUCCUGGCUGACAUAAAUUGCAGGGACACCUUGAAAUCUUGUAACUUUAUGCAAUGGCUGUUAUCCGAAGAAGUGUGCCUUAGGUCUACAAUGUUGGUCAGAAUUGAAACUUGAAACUCUAUCAUGCUCCAUUGUUAAAACUAGAUAGUUAACCAAUUUUGAAUUUCAGGAGAUAACCAAGUUUUUCAAGCCUGAUGGCCACAGAACAUGAUAAAGUCAUCUAAAGAACAUAAUCCAAGUAUAGCAAAUACUUUUAAGCUGUUGAUUUUCUACAGUUUGUUUGAAGAUGGGCACCACGAUAAGCAUGCUCCAGAUUAAUGGGAGCUUUGAAGAUCAAAGUUUAUGAUAAAUUGGAUCAAGUGACUAAAUUUAUAUUGCCAUGCAAAUAGAGUUCUUUAAUCUUACUCGAUUUCUUUAUAUACUUGCAUGAGUGGAGGGAGCACGUAUGACUGUACUGCUUUAAUCAAUUUAUAUUUUGGUCAGCAAAAUGCUUUUCAGAAGUCAAAAACAUUGAGCUCUAUCAAAAAAUCUGAACAUUACAUGACAUGGAUUUAAUACAACAGUAGCACACUCUAUUGGAAGUUUGAACAUAAAGCUCACUUCACAAAAUGAUGACUUGGAAAAGUGGGCAUGCUCAUUAGUUAUCUGAUGCAAAAAGUAGAAAACAUUUUCUAAUUAUCUCUUCAUGUAAAUCAUUUACCUAGUUAAAGGCCAUUCUCUGAGAGUAACUUUUUUAUAUUUUUCAAAUCAUUAAAGUAGGGUCUGUUUAGGAUUGUCGGACCAAAAAUGAUCAGAAAAUUUCCAUUUUGUACAAAAUUUUGGUAGAGAACCAAAAUUCCGAAGCAGUCUCUGGUUGUUCUUGUUUUGCCUUUGUUCAGUGACCAUGCUAAACAAGCUAUUAACUAGUGUUAUGUGUUCUCAUCCUUUGUUAUAAUUUUCUUUUCUGGAAAAAACAGCACCUUGGCCAUGGCCUCAAUUUGCAGCAACAAUAAUUUGUGUCUUACCUUCUUUGAGCACCUUCUUCAUUACAUCUUUCCCUGCCCCCAUGUUUCGACACUUCUUAGUUCUCAUGUUUUAUUGUUCUCCUUUCUCUGUUUCCUUCUGUUUGAGCUUCUGCCUUCUGUCCUUUUUCGUUUGUUCCUCCAUUUAACCAUUCUGUUUUUUCUGAAAAUCCUAUUNNNNNNNNNNNNGGGAAUGUUGUCAUGUCCAUGAUGUUUCUUUUGCAAGCAACUCUUCUGAUGAUGAUUCUUAGUUUAGUGUGGUAUCUUCCUUUCAGUCCUUAUUGCUGUGGGAGGCAAGUCUUCCCUUGCUCGUUGCUAAUACUAUCACCUUUUUCAUUUUAUUCUUUCCCUUCUAAGUUCUCAUUGCUUGCUUUAAGUCCACUGUUCUUUUCAGAAGCCAUAAGCAUAUUGGCUCAAUGAAAGCUUUUAAGCAUUCCUCAGUAGCAAGAGCCCAUGAACAUGGAACUUUUUGCUUAUUAUUUAAGAUAUGCCAAUCAAGGUAUCUCAUUGGUCGACAAAAUCAUGACUCCAAUUAUUAUCCUAAACUUUAGAAAGCUUAAUUUCUUAACAUGAGUUUGGCUAAGUUUUUGGUUUUCAGUGUGGUCAGUCCUCUUGACCUCUUCCUAGGUGACACUGUUUGGCUCUUAGUUGUUUUAGGAUUUUAGCUUAGCUAAGUAAUGGACGUUGUAGCGGCUUUUGUCAAAAAUAUUCUUGAGGUCUAAUAUGAAGCCGUGUUCAAGUAUGCUCAUCCGUCUCUGAUGUUUGUUGUCUUUGUUGUCCCAUGCACAGUUCCAGAUAGGUCCCUUCUGCAUGGUUUAAGAUGUCAAAAAGUGUUGGCAGUUGACCUGUAUGUUGUGAGUACAAACAUGUUUUCAUUUUCUUAUGGUUUCAACAUUUACCAAUUCUGAAAGGAUGACACGAUCAACACAUUAGUGACAUUAUGUUUGUUAAGGAACACUAGUUAAGUAGGCUACGUCCUUUCUUUUCCGCACAAAAGAAAGAAAAAAAGAAACACUAGUUAAUAUAGUUUGCGAUCAUGGACAUCAUCCCUUUUUACUAAUUUUGGUUCUUAAAGGAGGUAUGCCUUUGCUUUUUCAUCAUAGUGUACAACUAAGAUAAUAUCUUUAGUGCACCAAUAAAUAAAUGCACUUAUAGAUAAAUGCCCGUACAUCUUUCAGUUUAAUAUUGAGCAUUCUUCUAACUGCAUUCUAGAAUCAACCUGCCAACUUGUGAGUGUGCUGCGUAUAUUGCUUAUUUUACUCACAUAAUCCAUUUUCUUUGGGGUACCAACACAAAAGAUCUCUUUUUUUUCCGUCUUUCCGUUGUAGUUCUAACCCUUCUUUAGUACUGAGUGGAUUGGUGAUGUCAUGUAUUAGCAAGCCAAUAACAGUUGUCUUCUCUUUCUUGGAGAAGCCUUUAUUCUAGAAGGCCAAGCUUAGGAUGUUGUUUUGCAUUCAUAUUUCUACAUGAAAUACCAUGCAAAGGUUAACAUAUAUGCAGAUGUUUGGGUGUGGCACUUUUCUAUAUGGACAUAGGGGUUAUAGUUUCCAUGCCUAAAAAAAAAGGAUCACGGUUGUUAACCAUCCAUUCCAUUUAUCAAGUAGGUCAAGAUCUUCUGUUAAUCUUAUUCAUCACGAUUGUCUUGCUGGUUCGCUAACCUGACGUCAUAUCUGAUCCACCAUAGUGCUUGCCGAUUUCUUUAAGGUGUCCAACACCAUAUAUCAAGGACCCUACCACAUUUCAAGUUCUUUUCCUAAAUUCCUCGUUGGCAACCUACCUGAAUUCUAGAGAGGGAAGAGAUACAAAUGCGUCAAUAUGAUGCUGUAUUUCAAACAAUCUGUACUUCACUAUCCUUUUAUAUCUUGUAUCUAAUGAACUCAAGAUUAUAAUAAUCACACCAUCAUCAUAUCAUGUACUUUUAUCAGGCUAAUGCUGUCAUUAGUUGAUGCUUUGAUUAUGCCGCUUUUGAUUUAUGAAUAAUAAAAUGAUGAUAAACAUGGUAUGCACAUGGAACAUAAUGUCAGAUUACUACAUUAUUUGUUAAUCACUUGGUCUUAUAUUGCACAAAUUCUAACAAGAUAAUCCAGAUUUACUGCUAACAUGUGUAGGAACAAAGUAUGCUUUUAAUUGAAAUUUCUAAGGUGAAAGAAUGAGAUUUUAACCAUGUUAUUCAUAUUCUAGUAGAGCUAAUUAUUUGCAUGCCUGCAGUGUUCAUCACAUAGCAAUGAAUUGAGUGAUUCAGAAUUGGUUGGAUCCAGAAUAAAAGUUUGGUGGCCGUUGGAUAAGCAGUAAGCCUUUUCUGUUGGCAUGUUAACUUUUUAUGAGUUCUCAAUUUACAUUUGAUGCAAAACCUUGCUCUAUUGAAUACAAUCAAAUGGAAAGAUCACUAUAUAAAAGAGACCAAUGAUGAAACUGUUAUUGAUAGUUUGUGUGCAUGUUAAUUUCUUGUUCAAAAAGUUAAUGGAGUAGUUUGUCUGAUUUUAGUAUCUGCUGCUUCUAUUAUAGGUUCUAUGAAGGUGUUGUACAAUCUUAUGAUCCAGGAAAGAAAAAACAUGAGGUGAGAUGGUUCUCUGUCCUAUGCACGAUCCUGCAGAUAUCCGAGAUGCUAGUUUCUUAGUGCAUUUAUGGUGUUCACUGAUCUCAAAUUUUCAAACAUAAAAAAAGGAAAAGAACCAAAAUCUCUGCUUGCAUAUUAAGAUUUUUCUCAAAAGAACUACAUGACCCCACAAUUUCCAUGGCGUUGCAUUUAUGUUGCAUGCCCACAUAUAUGGCUGAGUUUUUGUCCUUGGUUUUUGUUCUGAGAAGCUUUAGAUAUAAAAUGUGGUUAUGGAAAGGGUUUGUUUAUAGGUUAUAUUAUUGUCUCCAAAUGAUUUACGAAAUAUCACAAUUUACCACAAACUUAUUGGUAUGUUUAGAUGAUCUAUGUUGAUGUUAACUAAGGUUCUAAAAACUGCAGUAUGGGCCCGUAACAGUCGUUGGCUGGUAUUUUACCCAUUCUGACAGUUUGGCUGGCAUGGUCAAUACCCUGUAUGAGUACAGGCUGGAAUUGGAAGGUGGUAUGUACUGUCUGGUACAGGUCAUGCCAGCAGUACUUGAAUCCUUGAUGUUAAGAUUGCAAGAGAGCCUUUUCCCUCAUCACCUUGUAGCAUCCAAAAGAAAUUCUGGGUUAAACCAAGUUCAGGAUCACUCUGUUUGUCCAAUUUUUAAGGCUGUAAUGGGUAUUUGCACUCAAAAUAAAAGGCUGUCAUGCGUGUUGGUAUAUACCUGAUAUAAUUGUAAGUUCUAGAAAACGAUUGUACCUUGCCAACUUUUCCAAGUCAAUUUCUCCCAUUUGGCAUUGGAGUUUUUGUCUAAUCCAUGCCUAUUCAUAUUUUAGUAUAUUUCUAUAUCAUUUACAAUUUUUCCAGCCUUUUCUUUCAAAAAUUUCUGCCAAAUUAGAACUUCUAUCCCAUAAAACUCAUGUUAUAGAUAUUGUAUGAUGAUGGAGAUGUGGAAGUGCUUCACUUAGCCAAGGAGAAGUGGGAACUUUUCCAAGUCAAUUUCUCCUAUUUGGCAUUGGAGUUUUUGUCUAAUCCAUGCCCAUUCAUAUUUUAGUAUAUUUCUAUAUCAUUUACAAUUUUUCCAGCUUUUUCUUUCAAAAAUUUCUGCUAAAUUAGAACUUUUAUCCCAUAAAACUCAUGUUAUAGAUAUUGUAUGAUGAUGGAGAUGUGGAACUGCUUCACUUAGCCAAGGAGAAGUGGGAACUUAUCAGUAAUGGAUGCGUGCCUAAAAAGGUUUAGACUUGUUACUCUUUUUUGUCGGCUUGACUUCUAACAAAAUUUUUUGAUGUGUUAUAAUAUGCUCCGUUUUUGACAGCGAUCAAAAUCCAAACAUACAUCGCCGCAUGAAGAACUGUGAGUAUUAUCCUUCAACUCUUUUUGCACCAUUUAUGUUUAAUUUCUGGGUAGGUAGAAAAUUUGUGAUUAUUUUGAUGCUGAUACUGUGAUUAUGGUCAUGGGUCAUGCCAAUGUUAAAAGACAGCUGUCAUUUUUCCCAUUUUUGACUGAUACAUGAAAUUUCAAUUAAUAGAGGAUGACAGAGAAGAGUAAUACCGAAAAUACUUUUUUAAUUCAAAAACUGAAAUCUCAACCAGAAAAAGAAAAAAAAAGGAGCCCACUCAGCCAGGACUGGAUAGCCUUUCAUACUUCCAGGUGACCAAUGUCAGACAACAGAAUUCCUAUGAUUUGAACUAUUUAAUCAUGUGUCCAGCAGCUAGGAGCAGGAUAUGAAGGGCUAAGGCAAGUGGUAGUCCCAAAAAUAGCCUCUGUCCUACCUUAUCUCCUCCCGCUUUAUCAUAAAAAGUCAUGCUAUCUGAGGAUAUAUUUCUUCUUGUAAGGAUGUUAAAUUGAUUGUUCAUGAACUGUCUAAGAUAGAAUCAUUUAGUGCUUGUUUUCAGCCACCGAUAUACCGUACUCCAAAUAACUGAAUCUGAUCAUGAACUGUCUAAGAUGGAAUGUUUUAGUGUUCGUUUUGAGCCACCGAUAACCAUACUCCAAAUAACUGAAUCUGGACUGAAAAUGGUCCUUUGCGUUUGAUCUGUAAUUGCUACUGCAGGUCACCAGAGAAGACAGAUGACAAAACCAACCAAGCUGAUUCUAAACAAAAAAAGAACAGCAUGAAGAAGUAAGUGAAGUCUUUAUUUUAUUUUAUUUUAUAUUAUAUUUUGUGUAAUGUUUUAUGUCAUCGCAAACUCUGGAAUUAUUGACAGAUCUUCAUCUUCUAAAAUCAAAAGAAAAAGUACUCCAAGAAAACGUAAAGUAAAUAACAGAAAAAGAGUAUCAGAAAGUAAUGUUAAUGCAGAUACGAACGACGUGGAUAGCAGGGGUGAUUCUGAUUUAUCAAGUGUCCCUCCACCCUCUGGCUCUGAUGUUGAUGAUGCCAACUCAGGUAUAUAUAUGUACACUCUUUUUAAGGGAAAAAAAAAAAUCUUCGAGUGAAAUAGGGCAUAUAUCACUACACAUUUCAUUGCUAGAUGAAACAGGAUUUCGGUCAGGGGUCUGUGCAGAGAAAGAGAGAGGGGAAGGGGGGGGGGGUGACCCCUCUUCGACAUGACAGUCAAAACAGCAGGAUGCACACACACAGGCAUGCAUGCAUGGUACAAUGUGUUAGACUGUUAAGGGAUGUAUAUAACCGCCUGUAUCCAUGUGUACAAUAUCAGUAAGUUCCCCAGGUGGUAGACCUUCCAACCUUUGCUUAUGUGGAAUCUGAUUGUCAGAAUUGGCCAACCAGUCAUCUGCCUGGAUGGCUUGCAUUGCUUGAUGAUGUGCAUGACACAAAAAGCCUGGAGCUGGUGAGACAUUAUCCGGAUAUCCACAGUCAGGGGUGUUUUAUUUUAGAGGCUGAUGUCCCUUGCUGGGUCCAGUGGACGACAGUGGCAGGGUGUCGUCCAACCACAAACUAGUUCACUGGAUUGUACAAAGUAGUUACAGUGCCUGGAUUGGUUCCAUACCAACACUACACUAAAUACAAAUAAAACAGAACUCCAACUGGGGCCCUUCCAGCUUCUCCUCAUAGCACCUAUAUAUCAGACUCAUAUUCCCUCCAUGCGGAGCUCUUCUCAACUUGUGAAGCCCGAUGGACAGACUGCUUUAAACACCAUCUGUAGGCACAUGUUCUCCUCUUUGACCUUGCAUAAGUCACCAGCCCAUUUAUAUUGAAAAUCAAGUUAAAUAUGCCAAUGUGUUGCAUGUAAUUUUCUGUUGUUUCGCUUUCUACCUCAACUUUCUUAUUUUCCUUUAGUAUACAAGCUUUGUCAUUACCUUUACUUUCUCCCAGAUAGGCUUGAAGGGAAAGAACAUCCAAUGUUAGAAGUUGGAAAGAAAACUGAAGUGGGCUUCGAAGAGGAUUCAGAAGAGUCAAUGGAAGAAGGCAAGCAAGAUUUUUCCAGCUUAGAUGGCAAAGGAGAUUCCGAUAAUGAACCUCUUGUAAAUUUUCUUAGCUUUUAAGCCCAUUUUCUGUAGUCUAGACCACGUUCCAUUCAAAAUCCGCAUACCAACUCAAUUUUUUUUCUUUUUUUUUCUUUCUAAAUCUUGCCAUUUUACCAUGUAAUUCAUGCAGAGUGCAUGGAAGCAAGGUGCUGGAAAAGCCACCUAAAACAUCUAUGCUCAUGGACCAGCUCACUCAGUACAAGAACUUGAUGGCAGAUCAGUUUGGGAUAUGGAUCUUGCUAAUUUGUUCUCUUCUUCCCACGCUUUCAGUCUUCAUGUAGGAAAUGUUAUUACCAUACCACAGGGUAGUAUAAGAUGGCCUUAGAAGAGGGAUAGUGAUUCUAUAUUGUGAAACUGAAGCUCUAGCUUUUGUGAUAAUUUAUCUGCAAUCUGUGCAUUUUCGCAGCAUUUUUUCCCCCUCCAGGUAGACGGAUUCUGUCAUUAUCUGCCUCUACUGUCUUUGGCAUAGCUAACCUCUGAUUGAACUCCGGCAAUUGAGCGGGCCAUGACUCUAUUCACAAGCCAUGAAUGUAAUAAUUGGCGCACACCUUUAGUGUUUGUCAUUGGGGGCACCUCAUUCUCUCUGAGGUUGCAUGUAAUAAUUGCAUACGAGUUGUUGUUCUGUAAUGAUGCUUCAGUUGGCACCCAAAUUUCCCGUAAGAUGGAAGUUGGAAUGUGUUGUAAAGCUGGUGAUGCUUCAGUUGGCACUUUGAUGGUGUACCGUGCCCAGAUAUCAAAUCUUCUUCAGCUUGCCGCGUUGAUAUUUUAUAGGUGUUUCCUUUUUGUGUUAGUGAAAAUAGCAACUGUGGACGUUCAUUACUUCCAUUAGGACUUGUAUACUGGGUAUGAGAUUUUAAAGCUAUGAGGCGAACUUUUCGUCUGUUGAAUUUAUUAUGAUCUGUUUGAUUGCUACCAGUUGGGCAUUUGUGAGAAUGGAUUUGUAUUGUGGUGUUCAAAAUUUGAAUGAAAAAUUUUUUUUCAGAAAUGAGGGGUGCGUUGCAUACUUUUCAUCAAAAUAUAUUCUAGCAUCCAUGCAUGUUUUUGAUAUUGAAUUACGGCUGCAUGUACGUUUAUCCAUAAACCAUUCUGCCAAGCAAAAAGGGCUGCUUGAUAAAUUUAGCUUUGGGGGUAUGUUGGACAAAAAUAUUGGAUAAAUCUAUACUUACGAUGUAUGAAGAAUUGUGUUCUGACCGACUCUCUACCGUGGGAUCACGGUUGCAAACGUGAAUAAUCCUUGCAUGAGCACUGUCUUCGUCCCUGUUUAGAAAAGUUUACGUGAGUCUUUAAGAAUCUCUUAAGUUGCAUAAGUUGGCGGUACUGUUGGCUGGAUUGGCUUGUAGGCUACAUAUUAGUGUAGCUCUCUCAGUCCUAAAUUUCCUCAUCAUAUUGGCUAAGGUAAAUCGGGUAAAAUAAAAUGAAUCGAGAUCUUGAUUUACCAAGAUCAUGGAUAUCAACAUUUAAAAACCUGGCUGACCAUGCGAUGCUAUGCUUUGUUGCAGGAAGUAAAAUCUUAAGAGCUUGGUCCAACUAGGGGUCCAGCCUUCUGUGUGAUAUUUUGAAAGAAGGCUUUACUGCACCAUUCUAUCUCCGAUGAAGUGUGGACGCGGGUCCUUGGAGCUGCACCUAAUAUGACUCAUGUAUUGCAUCAGUCCUGACUGCAGUACGAGGUCCAGUGCUUUGAGCAGGCGGAAGGAGAUUUAUUAGUGCUUUGAGCAGGCACUAGGACGUUGCGGAGAAAGCGUUUUGUGUACAUUGUGCUAGAGAAACCAUAGAUUUGUUCAUUUUGACCAAAGUUCUCUAAUUGUUCUCUGAAACACUCUUUCCAAAUAAAUAAGGUUGAGAAGGACAAAACUGUUUCUCAAUUAGCAUAAGAAUUUAUUCAAUUUAAUAAUAAAAUCAUCGAUAAAGUUUUUGGGUCCAUCGAGAUGGUUCUAAGUUAUUAUAAUAUAAACUUUUUUGAGAGAGGAAGACGAAGACUUCGUCUAUGCUCAAUGACGCAUAACCCGAGACUCACUUAGGGCUUUUGAUUAGUAAGCAGAGGGGUAUGACAAUCGGGGUAAGCGUCCAUUUAUAAAUAAUAUAAAAUUAUUUUCCAAGAGCUCGGAAAUGAUUGAAAGAUCAUAUAGCAUUUCAAGUUGACCAUUUAUUAUAUUGAGGUGAAUUAUAUAGAAGACUAAUUUGAUUUACUUUCUGGAAGAGCCUCACGAACCUGCUGAUAUAUAUAAAUCAGCAAGUCACUUGAAACAAGAAACAGGUAGCUCAAAGACAGCAGUCAAACACAUUUUCUUAUUGACAGAGAUGAUGGCAAAUGUUUAGUUUGCAAGUUGUGGCGAUGCCCUUCAUUUGCAGUUGUAAUUACGUAAGAAUCAGUAAUUCAUUGUACAGGAAUACCACUAUUUUCAGCUGCUUGUGGGAGGGUAAUUACCGCCUUCAAAAUGUCUUUAAGCACAAGGUAAUCAUCCCAAGAAUGCAAAUGAGGCUGAUAUCCACUAUAUUUUAAUUCCGUAAGCCCUUCACUUGCAACAUAGCAUGUGUCUCUAGACUGCAGCAAAGUGAGGAUAGAUAAUUUAAUAGUGAAUCAUUCUGCAUAGCCAAAGAAGAAAGUAGAAGAAGAAGAAAGAAGAAAGUAGACCUUGGUUUCUUCAACAUGAAUUUCGACGGUUGUGUCAUGGAUGAUGGAUGUUGUGGCAUCAGCUUCGUCAUCAGGGAUCAGUAGGCUGGACUAGUAGCUGCCGGGGGUCGGUGCAUCUUCGAUCAGUCCGUCAGGCACUAAGGUCAAAGCAGCCUGUGAGGAUAUCUCCUAUGCCAGAUAGGUGCUGGGGGCCGAUUGCAUCCUACUUGAGGGAGACUCCAUUACGGUGAUCGAGGGAAUUUUGAGUUCUAAGAGUGCUGUCGUGGGGAUGCGGCUGAUUCACGUCAUUCGCCGUCUCUUAGACGAAUGCGUAGCCUUCCGGGCUAACCAUGUAUUCAGAGAGUCCAAUAGCGCCGCAGAUUGGGUGGCAUCCUACGCGGCUCACCACUCUGGAGAUUUUAACUGGGUGGCACACAACUCUGAUUUGUCUCUCUUGCAUUUUAUUCUAGUAUCUGUCUCUUUGGGCUAUGCUCACACCCGGUGUGUAUGAGUUGCCGAUGUAAACAAAAAAAAAAAAAGAAGAAGAAGAAAGUAGAAAGAUAAGAUGGUAAAUUGAAAACGUAAGCUUAUAGCCUCCGUCCUAUCAUUUCCUGGUUAAAACAAACCUCUUCUUGAUAGCGCUAAAUAGUGAGACCCAAGAGAAACUAGCAAUUAAACAUGUUCAUAUAACUACUAUGACAGGUUUCCAUUAUUUAAUCUUCCGAGACUCAACUGCUUAUAGUUAGUUCACUUCUGCAGCAUACCAUUUGUCAAAGCAAGCACUGCAAACCCAUUCACCCAUUCAAUGUAUAUGUGUCUUUACAACAUCUUGUUGACUCGUAAUUAAUAUCGGAUCCGUUGGACUUGCUAUGUAUCAAUAAAAAUCAACUCUGAGAGGGGAAAAAAUAGGGAGGAGUCAAGUGUAAUUGGAUCAGGCUUGGGACUGACAAUAUUGAUAGCCGAAUAGAACUUUAUUUAAAUAUAUACUAACUUAUAUUAACCAUCCCCGCAAGGAUAUCAUGUAGGAUUCACUGUCUAGAGCAUAUCUAUAAAUUAUGAAUUUACCAACUCCUUAGAACUCUUAAUUGUAGAAAUCCAUGCAAUCAAAUUGUAUUGAUCGUUUUCUACUAUUUAUGCAAUCUGGUCCCAUAUAUUAUACCCUGGCUAGGUGGUUGGUUUUCUCUGAAGGAUCAAGGUUGUAUCCUCUAUGCAAAAGAAGGAUUAACUUCCUUUGCAUGAAUCCACAAUUGUUCAUCAACUAGUUGCUUUGAGAUCUAUAUAGCAGAACUUUAGUUCUUCAGUUGAUGAUGAAUUUGUAGCUUAGUAAUUUUCUAAAUUUUGAGAAUUAUGAGUUUGGUAUUUAUGUUUGAAUUUAGAAGCUCCGAACGAAUAAUGGUUGUAUUUAAUGGAUAAUGAAAUUUGUUUCCUAUUUAUUCUAUUUUAUUUGAGAUGAAUUUGAAAGCUAUAAUAAAAUGUUUGGCUUCGUAUUAUCGUAGAUUGUAUCCCUUGAUAGCACGGCUAUAUCAUGCUCCGGAUCUGAGGUAUGACAGAUAGAUUUCUACUAUUUAUGCAAUCUGGUCCUAUAUGUUAUACCCUAGCUAGGUGGUUGGUUUUCUAUGAAGGAUCGGAGUUGUGUUCGCUAUGCAAAAGAAGGAUUCAUUUUUAUUCACAUUAAUCCACAAUUGGAUAAUCCACUAGUUGCUUUAAAAUUUAUAUAGAUGGAUGGGUUAUUGAGUUCUGAGUACUUUGAGAUCCAUAUGAUGGGUGAUCCAAUGAUAGAUUUGCAUGAAAGAGAUAAAUCAUUCUUUUGCAUAAAAGAUCCACCCCCGAUCCUGCUAUGAAAUGAGGAUCGCUUCAUAGCAGGAUCGCUUUGUGGGAAUUUCCCACAAUGUAAGCCAUAGAGAUCUGUUGCUUUUACCAUCAAUACACGUCGUCUCGCGGUUAGAAAAUAGAGCAAUUAAUCAACCAUUCAACCGAAUGAGCAUGGGUCCCAAGUAAGCAGGAAAUACUGAUUCUCUCCUUAUAAUGUUUAAGUUGAGGGUGAUCUUCCCUCAUAACCAGAGCUCCAAACUAUCACGGUCUCCCACUCAUCCUUUGGGGAACUGUUUCUAGUUUCGUUUCAGUUGUCAAAACAAGUAAGAACUCAGUGAAUGUCACAUCCGACACACCUGCAAAAGCAUCCGUUACCUCUAAAAUUUAAAUUUUAAUUAAGUUACUCAUCAUUGCUUUGUUAUGUAUGAAUAAGUUCAAUUCUUUAAAAGAAAGAGCUAUGACAUAAUAAAUAAGUGGAAAAACAGGACGACUAAUUGUCUAAAACGUUGUAUGCUAGAUGUUUAAUAGUUUGAUAGUAAUGGCAAUAUCCCUUGGCUUGUUUAGUAUUGCACGAGGCAUUUAACCCUCCAAUUUGCUGAUGGCAAUGCUAUCCGUUGCGAGUAUUCUUGAAGAAUAUCUACAUAUUGGUUUUUUGUCGUGCAAGUAAGCUAUCAAAGCUCAAAGUGAUUGGGGCCUUUUCUCAUGGUCAUAUCUCCCUAUUUAGCAACCCCCGUGUCUGUGUGUGAAAAACAAAAAAAAAAUCAAAGACUAGAGAAAAAUACUCGGCAUCUAAAAGGUUAAAACUAGUUCCCUAAAGACCAUCCACUUCUGGAGGGAUCGUUGACGAGUUUUGAAUUUCAUGAGAGAUGGAUCAGUUGGGUCAUGGGGUGUGUCAGAUCUCCCACCUUUGCCAUUCUGGUGAAUGGCACGCCCUCGUGUUUCUUCGCUUCUUCUAUCGGACUCUGGCAAGGGUGCCCUCUGUCCCCACUUCUAUUCAUUAUUUGUGCAGAUGCCUUGUCUAGAGCCUUCUGUUGUGCUAUUGAGACCCAGGCUUUGGAGGCUUGUAGACCGGGGCUGGGGUCCUUUUAGGUAUCAUAUUUUUUAUUUGCUGAUGACUGCUUGAUCCUUGCUCAGGCCACAAGACAAGCGACAAUGGUUAUCCGGAGGUUCUUAGAGGAGUACUGUGUUGUUUCAGGUCAACGGGUCAACCUGGCCAAGUCAGCUAUCUUCUUCAGUCCGAAGAUCAAGCCACAGGUGAAGACAUCCAUCAAGCAGAUCCUAGGAGUGGGUGAACAGGAGGGUGCCCUAAAGUACUUAAGGGUUCCCAUCAUUGGGCGGCGUCUUCGUCUUGGGGACUGCUCUAAUAUAAUGUGCAGCAUCAAACAGAGGUUAGAGGGCUGCUAGAUGGAUGCACUUUCUAUGAUGGGCAGAAUGGUCUUAGUGCGGUCGGUCCUUAGCACGACGCCGAUAUACUUGUUAUCGAACACCAUUGUGCCGAUAGUGUCGCUGAGGUCUAUGGAGCAGCUGUUCAGGAAUUUCAUAUGGGGCAGGAAGGGAGAUCGCAGUGUCAUUCAUUUGGUGGCAUGGGAGACGAUUUGCCAGCCAGUCAAGAUAGGUGGUCUAGGGGUACAUUCACUGAUCAUGAGGCGGGAGGUUAUGGCGGCACGACAUGCCGCUAGGUACAUCUUGGAGCCGGAUAGUUGUGGGGUGCCCUCAUGAAGAGUAAGUAUGGCACACAUUCGGCGGUGGCCGACUUUCGAGUGGGACGUCAUAGCUUCAUCUGGAAGGAGAUAUGCGCAUACGCACCGAUGGUGCUCCCAGAGAUCAGGUGGAUGAUUGGUGAUGGAUGAUCUAUUGAUGUGCUAGAGGAUGCUUGGGUGACUGAGCAGCCAUUGGGGAGGAUACCAACGAUGAUGGAUUUAGUAAGGUUGUCGGGGUGCAGGGUCAGCGAGCUAAUUAGUGCUGGUAGAUGGAGUAAGGUGUUGGUCCGGGAUGUGUUUGGGGAGCAGCUUGCCGAGAGGGUUCUGAAGCUCCCGAUCCCUGGUGGGGAGGCAGUAGACAGGUUGGUUUGGACUCCGAUAGAGAGGACGAGGGUGUGUAUUAGGGAUCUGCAGGCAUUGAUGGGGAAGGAGUCGACUCGGCGGAUAGAGGGUGGGUGGAUCUAGAGGUUGGGCGUUCACCCUCGAGUGACCUUAUUCUUAUGGAAUGUGGCCUGGGGAUGUAUCUCGACUCGGAUUGUAUUGGCUAGGCGGAGUGUCAAGACUACCCCCAUGUGUGAGGAUUGCCAUGAUGAGAAGGAGACCAUCACUCAUGCUCUUCUUUACUGUGCUCGGGCUAUAUAGGUAUGGAGGAGUGCAGUAGUAUCCUUGCUGCGGGAUUGGGGUUUGGCGGAAGACUUGUUAUAUCAUUUGAGGAUAUCCAUGAGAAGAUCGGAGUUGGUGGAGUGGGGCAUUACUUGUGCCUACCUGGCUUAUCACAUAUAGUUAGACAGGAAUGUCGAUAUCUUUGAGGGGAGGAGGACACCCCCAUGAGCUGUGGUGGACAGAGCCUUCCGAUAUGCGGCCGAAUUCAUAUACUCUAUUAGGGAGUCUUCAUUUGGAGGGACUAGGAACACUUGGGGUUCCCACAUCGCUGUCAUGGUGCCCAUAGUCACUUUUGUCACUUGGGAACCCGCAAUGCUGGGUCAUCUUAAGGUAAACUUCGAUGGUAGUGUGCUAGCCGGAGGAGAUAAAGGAGGGACGGAAUUUGUGAUCCGAGAUCACAAUUCUAAAUUGAUUGCUGCACAUCGGUGGCACGAUAGUCAUAGGAGUAGAGCUCAGGGCAACAUGGGACUUGGGAGGGCAUUACUUAUGCGAGGAGCAUCCUAGGGGCUGGCAAAAUCACCCUGGAAGGAGAUUCCGCUAUAGUGAUCGAUUGGAUUCAACAUGCUGAGCGACAUGUAAAUGACCAUCCUCUUCUUAGCGAUAUACGACGGAUGGUGAGAGAUUGUAACUCCUUUUAGAUUGCUCAUGUGUACCGGAAGGCAAAUAGAGCAGCUGAUGGGGUUGCUUCCUUUGCUGCCCAUCACUCCGGAGAGGUCUCAUGAACAUGGUCUGAGAUUGUACCCCAAUCUUUAUGCCAUGUAUUGUAUUUUGACUCAGUUGGUUGCACUCAUGCCAGAUUAACAUGAGCGACUGUUUUAACCAAAAAAAAGGAAAAAAAAGAUGACCAUCCGCAUAAGAACCAGUUUCGGAGUUUAACUGCAUUCAAAACGACUCAUUACUUGAUCAACCAAUCCCAAUCUACAGUACCCAUUGGAAAUCUCAUAAGUAGCAAAUUCAAACUAAAAACAAAAUCAAGAAAUCAAAACUCAAGACUAGACUAUCCAAAUCAUUAACAGAAAUAUCUAAAUAUAAAAACCCUAGCAAGCAAAUAAACAGCUAAGAUCUCUAAAGAAACAACACGACAACUAAGGCAACCCAAAGGGCUGUCAUGAUCAUAGAAGAUUUAGCAGUGGUCUUAAAUGGCGCAUUAGAACCUUGGGAUCCAUAUGUUGCCGGCCGGAUCCUGAGCUCAGGCCCAAGCUUGAGCCCAGGCCACCACUCGGCUGGGGGGCUUUGCGCAAGCCCUGGACCCAGCUAACUUCUACGAUCAUCCUCUACUCGGACUCACAGUGACCAGGAUCCUCAUUGAUGAAGUAGAAGAAUCCAUAGUAGUUGAAUUGGAACGUGGCAUUGCCAUCGUUAAAUUUGGAACUGGAUUCGAAAUGUUGCACUGGUUGUAGGCCCUGUUUUGGGGAGCUGUUGGUAGUAGAGCUUUUGGAAGUAGAGCUGUUGGAAGUAGAGCUGUCUGAAGUAGAGCGUUUAUAAAAAGUUGUUUGCUGUUUGAUAACUACAUUUCUAAAGUAGAUAUAUAUAUAUAUAGAGAGGGGGAUGGGUGAGAGAGGAAGAGGCGGGAUGAGAGUUUUGGGAGAAAAAAAGUGGGAUUUAAAUGGGGGUAUUUUGGUAAAAAAAAGCUUUCCGACAAAACUAAAAACAGCAUUUUCGGAAAGCUCCAAAAUGGAGCAUCUCCCAAAAAGCUAUUUUCAGCUUUCUGGAAAAGCUGAAACAGCUUUCCAAAAUUUUUAACAAACAUCCUUUUUAUCCAAAAGUAUUUUUGAAGGCUAGAAAGUGCUUUUUGCCUCUUCAAGAGCUCUCCCAAACAGGGUCGUAGUCUUUGCGGUCCAUUACGAGCAUCGAGUUAUUCAAUCUAGGAUGUUAAAAAGAUAUCAUGAAUACAUGUAUACACUGGCUAAAUAUUUAGUUAAACUGAUAACUCAUUAUUAUUGUUGCUCAAAACACGAAAAAUAAAAAUAAAAUAUUAUGCAAGUUCUGAAAUGAAUUAACUCUUUCCAAUGUCAUUUAAUUGUGGUCCCUAGUAGUUGUACACACUUAUUCCUCACUAUGUACACAAAUACAGAUAACUGUGUAUAUGCAGGGACAAUAUAUUGUGUUCAAGAAUUAGUAUAAUCAUGUGCAAUAUAAAUGUAAACAUGUGUAAAUCUUGUAUAAGCUUGUGCAGCAUUAAAAGUUAAAUAUUAAUAGUCGAACGGCCAAAUGUUAGAGUCCGUCAAAAAAACUUAAGGACCCAAUAUUAUCGUCUCAUUAUUAUGUUUAUAUAUCUAAAUGUUUUAAACUAGGUACUGAUAAUGCAACCAUAAUUCAUUACUGAAGUGUGCUACUAUCAUAAAAUCUAGCAUUUUUUUUGUUUUUUUAUUAAGCGAACCACAAGGAAUCUCGUUGAGAGGAAGAAGUUGAAGCAAACAUACAUACAUACAUAUAUUGAGAGGAACGAGGUGGAAAGAAGUUUAUCAAUUCAUGUCAAUAUUGCUAACAAAAUAAGAUGGCAUCAUCCACAAGAUACAAAUAUGUAUCUGUCUAACUCAUGGAAUAAUAAAAUUUUUAUGUUGCAAAAUCUCGGGUAAACUUUGAUUUAUCAUGCCGUGUAUUUUUUUCGAAGUCCAACUUCUCCCUGUUCCCAUGACAAUUGUAAAAUAAUGUUCUUAUGUUAUUAUUAAUUAUCUUUUAUUAUGGUAGCUGUUAGUAGUCAUCGUAAGUAGUCAUUAUAAGUCUUUAUCUUAAUCCUAGAUAAACUCAGUCUCGUUAGAUCAGAACUGGACCAAUAAUGGCUAUUGUAUAAACAUAAUGAUCAUGGACCGGGUUUGUUGUUGAGAUCUUGACGAUAGCAUGUAUCCACCUCAAUCUUGUUUCAUAUAACUUGACGAGGUCACGAGUCCCAUGAUGCAAUGGCAACGUCUGACCACCUCCCUGGGACUGCCGGUCAUCAUCACUAACCUCCAAUUUUAGCCCACAAUUUAUGGUCUCUUUCCUUUCUCUCUGCCUUCUAAUUAAGCCUCCUCCGGCGAGAAGGCCGUUCUAGGAGCGAAUUUAAAGGCUGCCAACCUAUAAACGCAACCAAUUCCGGAUGAAAUCUCUCGCUCUCCCCCCCCCCCCCCACCUGUGACCAUAACUGAGUCAGUUGCACUCUUUUAGGAAACUGGCCAGCACCACUACUCGCCGGUUUUGAACGGGUGUUUUCAUAGUAGAAUUGGCUCUAGUCUCUCGUCGAAAUGUCUAUAUAACCAGGUCUCUGUAUAUCGUCAUUUCAAUUGCAAACCAGUUCUAGCCUCUCAUCAAAGUGUUUAUAUAAGAAGGCCUUUCUCUUCGGGUCGUGCGCUAGCUUGUUGUGUAUUUAACUAUUUCUAUGGUUUUUUCCUCUUCCUCUUUUCUUUCUUUUUUGCUUGCUUAGCAUAUUAUGAUGUUGCUUUUUAGGCUUUUAUUCUGUCCAUCAUAAUUUGGUUUUAUGUAGUUUUAGAAAAUUCUUUUGUUGGGCAUGGAUUUUGCUUGCAUCUAUAAGUUUAGAUGAUAUGAAGGUGAAACUUUGAGGAAAGGGUUGUCACUUCUUCAAAACAACCGGUUUUCGUUUCAUCUCAUUAUCCUAGACUAUAUAAGAAAUCUAUACUUCAUUAGGUUAGUCUGUGUGAAGAAGAAAGCACGUUCUCGCUAUAAGAAUUUGAUUGUGCACUUCAAAACGAUUUUCUUUUUAUUGAUCUUUUGAUUCCAUCUAUUUUUGUAAUCUAUAUGAGCACCGAGAAAAGGAUGUUUUCAAUAUAAACAAACGAUUGCAUAUCUUUUUUUUUCCAGCAAAAUGAUUGCAUAUUUCCACAAAACUAGUUUUUCGGGAAUUUUUCUUUAUUUCAUUUUUGCUGUUUUGGAAAUGAAAAGAUUAUGCUAUACAUGAUGGUAUCGCUUCAAUUUUUUUCCCUUUUUUUUCUUGGUUUUUGGUUUUAGUCUUAACCUCAAGAAGUUAAUUAACAAUGGCAAGGGAGUUUCUUCCAGCAUUCACAAGGUAAACACAUGUUUCCACUAGUAGAUUAAUUCUAUUCAUUUCUAUUAGCACGCAUGAAUGUACGCAUACAUACCAAGCAUAUAUUGUUCUCUUUUCUCUGUCAUAAAUAGCUUUCAUGAAUAGAAAACUUAAUGUAAAGAAAAAUAAAUAUGCGCAAAUAUUUUAUGAAAAUCUUAUUCAGAAAUAUACAUGCAUUCAUGCAUCCAUUAACUUUGUCUUUUUUUUCUCCAUCAAAAAAGACUUUUGACUUUUUGUAGGAUGGGGCUUAUGAUCUUCAUACAUUGACCCGAUGGCUGAUCAGCGAAUGUACAUCUGAUAUCUUGAUGUCAACAUUUAAUUUAAUAGAUGUUAUAUAUUUCCACGUGUACGAAUGCAUGUCAUUUCUUGAUCCUGAAAUCUGAAGUUGAUGGCGAUUUUUUCUAAUACAGGGUGCGAAGGGUGGGAUCCCAAGAUGGAAGAGAUGACAGAAGAGAGAGAGCACAACCCAACACUAGCGAAAGAAACAGGUUCGCUCUUGGUGUGGAUGUGCUCUCUCCUCUUUCUGUCAUCACCAUCUCUAGGGUUUUGCCUGUGCUCUUUUGAAGCCCUAGUUUCUUGUCGCGCAUAUCACUUUCUGGUGGGUCAACUCUUCCAUUGACCAGCAAUAUCUAGCAGGCAAGGUGAGCCUCUCAUAAGAUCCGGCCGUAUUUUAUUUAAGAUCCAGAGUUAAAAUCGAUGUUACAAAUUAGGUUUGCAUUAGGGUGGAUCCAAAUGCACCUGCUUGGCUGCUGUUGAUGAUCUGCUCAAAUGGAAAGUCCAUAUCCUACCCGUGUAGUUGGACUAGUCCNNNNNNNNNNNNNNNNNNNNNNNNNNNNNNNNNNNNNNNNNNNNNNNNNNNNNNNNNNNNNNNNNNNNNNNNNNNNNNNNNNNNNNNNNNNNNNNNNNNNNNNNNNNNNNNNNNNNNNNNNNNNNNNNNNNNNNNNNNNNNNNNNNNNNNNNNNNNNNNNNNNNNNNNNNNNNNNNNNNNNNNNNNNNNNNNUACUUUCGGCUGAAGCUAGCCGAAUGCAAAUGUGUAUGGUAGAAAUGGUCAAAGUGGGGGAAUACAUCUUUCUAUGAGAGGAGAGAGCCACUAUACGUCUAUAGUGGAUACAUGGAGUUGGUGCUGCAGGUUUAACAAUAGAAAUUAAAAUUGGUUGGAUUGGGUGUAAAGAUUAAAAUUGGUUGGAUCGGAUCUAUUUUUUCAAGUACAUGUGAGUUAUAAAUAUGAUAUAAAAUAUUAAAAAUAAUAUAUUAUAGUGUAAUAGUAUUAUUGUAUCACCAAUAUUGUAGUAAUACUAUUGUAUUAUACUAUAUUAUAAUAAUUUGUUAUAUUAUAUGAUAUUAUAAUAUUAUAAUAAUUAUAUCAAAAUAAUAUAGUAACUAAUAAUUUUAUAUUAUUAUAUUUUACUAAUAUUAUUUAAAAUAUUAGUAUAUCGAUAUCACAUAUAUACUAUUUAUUAUAUUAUUUAGAUUAAAAUAUUAUAAUAAAUAAUUUAUAAAUUAAAUAUUAUUUAUUUAUACUUUAUAAAUAAAUAAUAUUAUAACCCUCUUAUCUCGGCUUAGGCCUCUCUACCUCUACCACCUCUGUCCUUAGGGCCAUGCUCUCUUUUUUCUCCAUCUGCAUAGUACUUUAGUCUAAAUCUAAUGUAAUUUGUAAAAUGUAAUUGCUGCAUAUAUUUUACUGAUAUGGGCACAAAUACAUUUCCAGAAGGUUCAGUUCUUUGAAUUGCAGAUCUGAAGAAAUGGAGGAAAGAAGAAGAAGAAGAAGAAGAAGUUGCUAAGAUUUCUGCAUAUAAAUGGCAUGGUUGCAGUACUGUUUCUUUUAUAUGUGAUGAGAAGCUGGCGCAGUUCCUGAAUUGCUGGAAGCUUAGCAACACAGAGAAAUACGGAGCAGCAGAUAUUUAUGGCAAACAGAGUUUUCCAAUGAGAUUUUUUUUUUGAAAUAGUUUUAUCCUGUUAGUGGUAGAGGGGAAAAUAAUUUUUGACUUCAAAUUGAGCUUAAUAUGGACAUCAUAGAAUCUUUAAACGACUGAAUCAGGGAGGUAACAGGGUAUCUAUCCAGGACUUAAUUUGGGUCGGACUUCCCAAUCAGAUUAUUCUAAUUUGAAGCAUAGAAUUAUUUGUCCUGUUCAACGAGAUCAUCUUGAUAUAGUUUGUACAACUUUAUGGCUGAUAUGUGGAUUAAGCCUUCAAGAUUGCAAUACUGUGUAAAAUGAAACAUGCAACAUAUACCAUUCUAUAAUAUUUUGAAGUGUUACUGAGGUUCGAUCUUCCAACCUCAGAAUAAAAACAGGGGUGACAUAACCACCCAUUGCAAUCACAAAAAAAAGAACAAGAAACGCACAUAUACCAUUCUAUAUACCCAUGCAUAUUAUCAUAAAUUCCGUCAACGUUGCUAUAAAAAAUGCAAAUAGAAAUCUAAACUCAAAUCCUAAAGGCUGUAAAUGAUGUGCCCCAAGACAGAAUUUUUUAACAUUCUUAAGAAGGGACUAACUUAUACCAUUACUCUCAAAGCACUUUAGUGAUUUAUACCAUGGCUAGCAGAGACACCAACAUCGCAGAACCAAGGGAGAGAAAUGUGACAGAGAGGGGUAAGCUGCCUUUAUCCUUUCGUAUGAAAAGAGCUUCAUAAAUGGGCAAAUGGAUGGCCACCACCAGCCCGCAGAGAAGAAUUUGAAUGAAUAAUGGCUCAAGACCCAUAAUUCCGCCAUCUUCCACCAGCCUUUGGAGUCCUCCCGCCAAGCAGAAAAGAUUCAGCAUUGCAACUGCUCCUAUGAUAACAAACAUUGAGGAUGAUGAUCCGAAUUCCAUAACCUCCUGCUCGUACCUUUUAGAGGCAUCGCCAUCAGACACCUUUGCUGUGAUUGCGAAGCCCAUCUUAGAAAUCCGCAGCAACUUUAAGAUGGUAGAAGUGAAGCCAUAGAGGAAUGAGGUGGUCCUCCUCAAUAUCCACAUCCUUUGUAAGUUCCACCAUCCAGCCAAUGUGUCACCACAUUGCAGUGAUUCGACGAGCCCAUACGCAUGCUUCCCAAUGGUGACAUAGGCAAAGGGCACGAACCAUGGGCUCGUGAUCUAAUUUUGACAUCAGGAUAUUUAUUUGUGUUAGGAUUCGUUCAAACAUGCAUGCUUGAUGGAAGGGAAAAAGAUAGGCAUAUCCGUACCUUUGGGAAUAAGGAGAUGCCUUUGAGGAGGCAAAGGGAAGGAAUCACAAGGUAAUAGAGUGUAGGGAGUGAGUUUGGAGCCCACAAGCCAUAAAUGCAAUAACCCAUCUGAAGUCCUAGCUUGAUUUUGCCAUGAGCAAGUAUGAAGGGACAGUACUUGGNNNNNNNNNNNNNNNNNNNNGUACCUUUGGGAAUAAGGAGAUGCCUUUGAGGAGGCAAAGGGAAGGAAUCACAAGGUAAUAGAGUGUAGGGAGUGAGUUUGGAGCCCACAAGCCAUAAAUGCAAUAACCCAUCUGAAGUCCUAGCUUGAUUUUGCCAUGAGCAAGUAUGAAGGGACAGUACUUGGAAAGAAAGAUUUGAAAAUUUCCCUCGCUCCAUCUUUUGUAUUGCACCAGCGAUUGUUCUAGUGUUGUGGGAGCAACACCUAGAAAGGCUUUUCUUGGAGGAUUGAUAAAGGCGGACUUCCACCCCCUACAUUGAAUUAAUAGGCCUGUGAUGACAUCCUCCACAGCACACUCAUACUUCAGCCCAAUCUGCAUUAAAUGAAAGAUAAAUAUAUAGACAGAUAGAUAAAUAAAUAGGUAGAUAUAUAGAGAGAGACCUCCUGUCCCCAUUGGGUGUCGUGCUCAUAGGUGCUGGUAAUAAGAGACUUUGCUCUCUCUUCCAGUGUGCAAGCACUUCUAGCCGUUUUCCUCUCAAUGCCUCUCUUCCAGUCUUCCUUGUAAUCCUUGCUAUACUUCCUCCCGCAAAGAGCCUCUCUUCUGUGGAAGCAUCCAGUGCCAAUAUAGAGAGUCCCUCCCCAACUAUCCAAGCCAGGGUGGUCCACCUUAAAAGACAUUCAAAAUGGUUUUAUUAUUAGGUCCUUGUAAGACAUUCAAAAUGGUUUUAUUAUUAGGUCCUUGUAAGACAUUCAAAAUGGUUUUAUUAUUAGGUCCUUGUAAGACAUUCAAAAUGGUUUUAUUAUUAGGUCCUUGUGCGAUUUAAUAUCAAAAUUCACACUAACUACUUGAUUGGUAUUAUACUCCAAACUGGAUAUUGCCGCGAUCUCUGUUGACUCCAAGGAUGUGUUUGUGGAACUUUGUACAAGACUAGAGAAACAUAACUGAAACCUCGAUUGUGGUGAGCCUUUGCUAGUACUAACCUGAGUGAUCACAUUAAGGGAAUUGCCAUAGAGAUCAUUCUUGGUGAUAUUAUGAAAGACCUGGGGAUAUUGUACAAAGCCAAUGUCCUGACCCUUCUCUUCAUCCAGGAAGAAGCACAAUGCUUGUCUGAUGGACUCCGAGUUGUUUGAGUACAUGUCGCAAUCCAGGUUGAGGAUGAUUGGGCUGUUGCUUAUCUCUGAUGACGCCCUUAUCUGUACAUCAGGUUGCAUUGUUUAAAGAUAUUUUUUUCAUAAAUUUCAUUUCAAAAUCAUAAUAACCUUGCAUUGUUAUUCAGACCAGGUGCAUAUUCAAGAUCCAUUUACAGCCGAUUCUAGAUUGAUCGUGUUAUUCUUCUAAAAAAUAAUUGAUUGUGUUAUUAAAACUCCUAUUGAAGCCAGUUGUCUAGAAAGUAUGCCAAUUCCAUAUUGUGGACUACCCAAAGAGAGGAUAUUAAUCGAACAUCUGAUUCUGCUACCUGCUUUCAUUUAACCCUGCAUCUGUAGACUAAGCCCAGGACUACUUACAGGGCUCAACUAACUACAACAGGUCUAAAAGCUCAUGCAAAUGAGGAAAAAAAAAGGAAAGAAAGGAAAAAGAAAGCAAGCCUAUCUCCCAAAAAUUGUGAGAAAAAUCUAACAUAGUUAUAUUACCAAUGCGUUCAUAGCCCCUGCUUUGAAGUUAUGAUGAUGCUGAGGUCUCUUCUCUCGUGCCAUAUACACCAAAGUUGGUAAUGCAUUUCCAUCACUGUCUAUUGAACCUUGGUCUCUCCCAUCAAUUAUGAUCUGCAAAAAGCAACAAAGAAAAGCAACAUAAUUAGCUCUAGUGAGACAGCUCUAAUCGCCCCACAUUUGAAGGAUGGGCACAACCUCUAAACUAUAGCUUAGUUCAGUUCGUCCAUAAUUUAUGCUGUACAGAUCCAAAACACCUUUUAUGAUUUCACCAAUUACAUUUCCUACUCUACCAGUAUAUUAGAUUCCUUUCUAAGACACGAACCAAUAGGCUCUUCCUACAGUCCAGCAUAGAGUUUAAACAACUAGUUUAAUUUUCAUAAGAAAACUUUAUAACUUGAAUUCAUGUCCCAAUUAUCCCAUUCUAAAAUAAUUCAAAAUUCUAUGCAAUAAGGGUUUUCUCCCAAUAAGGUCUUGUUUUGUUCUUCCAGUACCAAGUGUAGUAGUACCUGAACGAUGGGUGGAUGAUUCCGUGAAGUCAUCUCCGAGCUCCAUUCAGAAAAUCCUUUAUUUGCUUUGAGUUCUUCAGGGAUCUUGCCUAGCAUUACCACCGAAUCGAUGCGAUCUGCCAUCUCUUCAUAUAGAUUCUGAGAAAUGGGAAAAUAUGAUGACAAAUUAAAUAGAAACAAGUUGUUGGCUUGUUUUAUGCCAAUUUACUACAAGCACUCCUUUCACUGAACAAAGCUUUUUUCAAACACCGAAUUAGAAAUUAAGGUUGACCAUGUGCCGGCUAAUGGGUCAAUAUUUAUAAAAAUUGAGCCAUGCCACUUGGUCAUACUAUUACCUUCAUGAAAGACCAUUCGGUAGGGAUGCAUGCAUCGCGGGGGUCGCAUAAUUUGGAAAAAUAGGCAGCUGGCGACCGUGGCUCCACAUUAUAUUUCUUGCAAAAUGGAAGCCAAUACUUUGCAAAGUGAGAUGCUUCCCAAAGGGCGUAGAAGGUCAGAACAGACCCAGCAUCAUCAGAGAGAUAGACAUUUAGUUUCUCGGGAGGGUAAUUGUAAGCCAUGGUUGAGAGGACAGUGGAGAUGACUAGGAUGGGUGGCUCUGCAAUAGGGUCAGCAGUGCACACGAAUAUGUCCACGUUUGGUAACUCAGUUUCAUCUCUGUUUCCAAAGACAAAAAUAAGAAAAUUAUACAUCAAUACAACUUGUGAUGCAUAUGAAUGCACAUUUUACAUCCGUCAUGAUUUUUUUUUUUGAAUGCAUGGAUCCUGGAGUAGAAUAGAAAUGAUAUAACAUAGAAUAUUUUUUUCUACAAAAUUAAGAAUGCGACAAAGCUUGGCCAAAACCAAGUAAGGGCUAGAUCCAAAUGCAGAUCAUUAGUAUCAAUAUAUGAUAAUUUGCCUAGCUAAGUUAGCUAGCACCCUUAUGAUAUAGCAUGAAAUUGUAUUCCCCUUGUAAGACCUUAUUUUUGUCCUUCUCUCUAGGAUUUUUUUUUUCUGAAUGGAGGGAUGAAAUAUUUUUGGUCCUAUCCAAGUAAAGUUUUGGGAUAAACAUUUUUCGCCCAGGACCAUUCUUUUUUAAAUUUUGUAGUAGUGUGUUUUCAAAUUUUGAAGCCUAAAAUAUGGUGCUCCAACAUUUGUUAAGAGUAAUAUGCUUAUAGAUUCAAACAUAGCUAAAAAUUUGGGUUUCAAACUUAUUUGAAACGUUUUGCAUGGUAAGAUAGGAUUUGAACUGGUUGGCAUCCUCUUCUUAUUGGGCAGGUAAAAUCAUUGAUUUUUGUCACCAAUGUUCUUGGUAUAAUUGUACUUUUAUUGUAACAUGUGGCAGACUUUUUUUUCCCCUACUUUUAAAAGAAUAAAAAUUUAUGCAAGCUAGACUAAAAGUAUGAGCAAAAAUAAAACAAGAAUGGGUUAAAACUUAUUAAUUUUGUCCGCAAAUUGAUUUUGAUGGGACUUGUUAUGAGAUAUUUUUAUUAAAAAAAUUAUAUUAUAGACAAAAAUAAAAUAAAAAGAAAAAUAAAUUUAGGUUAAUAUAAUAGUAUUAGGUCUGUCUGUUGUACAGUAAAUUUUAUUUUGAUUCGAAUAUUACUUGAAUUAUUUAAUAAAAAUAAUGUUGAAAAUUUAGUAAUAUUUUUAUAUAAAAUUAUUUUCAACUAAAUAUAAAAAUAUUUUUUAAUAUUGAUUUUCAGAAUAAAUUUUACAUCAGUAAAAUAUUAUAUACUUCAUUUUUUUCUCUAAUUAUUUUUAAAGAUAAAUAAUUUUUAAAAAAUAAAAUAAAUUUGAUUUACUUCGGCCGACCAAAUUGUACAAAUCUGAUGGCCGUCACGUUAUUGGAGAGGUACAGCUGUCCAUUGUACCACGGAAUCCGACAAAUUUAUGGUCUUGUUUAGCAACCGUCGUCUUCACGAGAGACUGAUAUGAUAGCUAUCAAGAAAUUUACAGGGCAACAGACUGACGCAUGGCAGAGAAUUCGAGACGCUUAAACCAACUUGACGUCGACCAGGUCGCCGCCUAUCCCAGCCUGAACCCAUCCCCCAACUCUCUCGGCCGCUACCCACUCGGCAUUCUGCUGGCCCACCCGUCCGUCCAUCAAUGAUUCUUAUUUCACAGAAACUAUAAUUCAUAACAUCAGGUCUCAUGAAACUUUGGAAACUGAAGCAGUAUCCCCUAGAAACUCAAUCCAUGGCGGCAUAGCUUUGAAAGCUCCAUUUUUUUUCUUUUUGCUUAUCAAAGAAAAAAAAGAAAAGAAGGGACGGCUUAAAUGUUGGUAAACGAUUCCCUCCAAGAUAAAUUCUUUACCAGCAAAGAUUACUUUAGCGAGAACGCUAAAUUAUAUGUGGGUAAAAGACUAGUUAAGUGUAGACCGAGCAUGAUAUGUGGGCAUGUUCUUUCUUUUUUUCUUAAAAAAAUAAACGGAAGAAGCUAAGAAAUAUGCGGGCAUGUCAAUUAUGAAUGAGAAUUUUACCGCUGAGAGAGCUUCUCGGUGUGAGUGAAACGAUAGAUGGGGUUCCAGCGCACCGACUGAGUGAUGAUCCAGUAGAAGCCGAACCAAAGCUCGGCUGCAAAUAUCCCCAUCCAUGCCCAUCUCCCUUCUUCUCCCCAUCUCGGGACAUGAGUCGCUCUAUAGAACCAAAUCGAACAAAUGCCCGCCAGCAUCGAGCAUGCAAACAACUUGUAAGCAAACCUACCUUUGGCUUGCUUUGUUUCAAAGAGAGCUUCAUAACUCUCUGCCAUCUCUCUCUCUUCCUCUCUCUCUCUUUGUGUCUCUCGCGUUUGUAGCCGUGAGAUAAGUUGGUUAUAUAUAGAGCGUGGUAGGAGACAAAAUUUAAUAUGGCCACAGGUCAGAUUAAUAAAUACUUAUUCGACAUGGAUAGUAAGUAAAUAAUUUCCUUCACGAGAGUGUGGAUAACAAUUCUGUGGUGAGGCCUUCUCAAAAUCUUCAAUGAUGAGCUCAAUCUAUGGCCCAUACAGGGGCGGCCCAAUACAUUUGGGGGCCUAAGGCGAAUCCAAUGAAUANNNNNNNNNNNNNNNNNNNNCUAUGGUAGCAGAAAAUGUGACCAAAGAAUGGAUUUUAUGAAAAAUUCAUUCAUAAGGGUUUGGUUAUGAUGGUUUAGUAAUAUAGUGAUCGUGGAAGGUUAUACGCCAAUCAAAUAGGUGUUAUUUCCGCCAUGGUUCGUAUUAUUAUUCUCAAAGUAGUCAAACAUAAAGUUUGCCCGACUUGAUAUCAGAAUAAAAGGAAUAUGCGUAUAAAGAUUAUAAAAUUCAAGUGCUAAGGAUAUUUUACUUGUCAAUAUGGUCCAAGUGGGAGAAUGUUGGGAUCCCGUCAAGUUGUGGCCCACAUUGACAAAUGGCGUCAAUAUGGUCCAAGUGGGAGAAUGUUGGAUCCUAUUUAAUUAAACCCUGAUCCCGUUUAAUUAGAACCCACAUCUUGACAAGUGUCCCUUGAAUUUCGUAAAUCUUGAUAAUCACAAGGGCAUUAAGGUAUUUUCACAGCAGUGAAGGGUUACCUUGAUGGGGGGUGACUCUUCACGGGUGUAACCACCUGCAGCGUUUGGUCCCUGGAGAGGGCUAUAAAUAGCCUGUUAGACCCCUUCUCUAAAGCACUCAUUAAGAGCUCUCUCUCCAGAAGAUCUCUCGCUAAUCUUUGUUCAGAUCAUCGGUGGUCGAGGCUGCGCACGCAUUCCAAAGUUUAAUCCGGAUGGAUAUAGCGACACAAGGUAUGAUUUAUGAAUUAUUAAAGUUAAUCAUUCCAUCAACAGCUCCAUAAAGUUAAUGGCAUCAAAGAUGCCUACCGAAGAGCUAACUUGAGCUUGACAUUCACUUAAGGUUCGGUAAAUGGAAAUAAUAUUCCCCUUAUGUACAACAUAGAAUGCAUUAACAUCCUCCAUUGACAGCCAAGGAUCUACUUCUGGCUGAAACAAACCAGUUAUGCAUAAAGCAAAGAAUAGCUAAACAUAAGCUUAUCAACAGAAAUUUUAAUUUAUAUCCACCAAAUACCAACAUGCAAAUGCCUCGACUAUGCUGUAGACAGAGCCAAACAAAGAACCUCCAAGAUGAUUCAUCUUUUGUGAAAAACAUUGUCGACCAAACUUAUCUCAGUUGGUAGCAUCCCACUCGUCAAGGCAGACAUCCCAAGUUUGACUCAGGAUGAUACUCCCACUGUAUUUCUCAAGAAAAUAUUUUUUUGUGAGAAUAUCAAUGAAGCAUUUGUGCAUCAAAUGCAGUUCAUCAAAGAGUUUCGAUUUGUUAUCUUGUUAAGACGAGGGAAAUUGAGAUUAAAAUCAUACGAAAGUGUAAUUUGAUCUAAUCAAGGGGUGAUAAUUUGCAGCUAUUUUGAAUCUGCUGAAAAGGUAUCCAUGAAAAUGGAAUCUCAAAGGUAGUAUUUUGUUCGAUAAAAAAUGGCAUACUUUCUAGUAAAACAUAUUGAACUCCCUCCACUCAUUCAUCAGCAUCCCAGAGAAACAAGUUAUGACCUACUGGUCAAUUAUAAAUACAGUAUGACAGUACAAGAUCAGUAUACUAUAAAUCAAAGCAUUUACUGAAAACUGACAAAAUAUUUACUAAAACAUGAUUUCUGGAAACAUAAAGUUAGAGUGGUAUCAGUAUAAGUAUCCACUUUUUAAUUCCUAUCAACUACAAUUUAUAAAAACUUUCUGUUAUGGCCACAGCAGACACAAGAAACUCGGAUAAUAAUUAUAAAAACAACGCCUAUUUUCUUAUGCAGAUGUCAUGGUCAAAAACACUAGCUAUACCCCCGAUUUCCAAUAAUGCAUUUGAACGAUUGUCACUGAUUUGAUUGGACUUCGUAUCCAAGGCCCCAUACAUGGUCUUACGACUUUUCGGAGACCUAGGGGAAGGGCGGGAAGAGCAAUUAAAGUCAUUUUUCUAAAUUCAUCUGUUUCUAAGUAUACCCAUUCCUAGGGCCCUCGGAGGGUGGUCGGAUCACUAGACAAGAGAGGAACGAACUGAACCAAUACUCGAAGAGAGAAAACGAGAGUGAAGGUCCUUUUUCUCGUUGACUGGCCCUUGUUGCAAGUUUAGAAGCAGAUUUCAAUUCUAUUCCUUUUUCUUCCUUUUCAGCCAGUCUUUCUUACUUUAAGGAUUUCUGGGGAAGGCCGCCUAACUAACUUGAAUCAUUAAUCAUAUAUUUUAUUUACGAUACCAAGAAAUUAGGAAAGCCGUCCCUCUUCCAUUCGGAGCAAGCAUCGUAAUCGUACCGCUAUAAAACUUUUCAUAGGAGGAAAGGUCUCCUCUACUGUCCAUUCGCCUUCCUUGGUGAGUCCGGUUUUCUGUGCUACGUUAUUCUUAGAUCCAGCGAAAUCAUUGGUUUCAGAGUCCACUGUCUUUGUUGUCUCAAUGAACACAAACCCGAUUGUAAACUUUAAUGUUUAGAAACCAUCCCAUCCCCUGAUAUCCCGAAAGUUCCCGAGAGAAUAAGACCGCAUUGAGAAAACAAAAGAGCAGAUAAAGGAGCAAAGUCCUCUCUUUCAACUCUAGCCAUUCUUGGCUUGGUCACAUGCAACCAUCAAGAAAGAAUGGAUUGAAUUGGACCUAAAAAAGCCAUUCAGGUUCUUUUGCAGACCUCGAAAUCUCAUCGCGAACAAUUUGACGCUGCUAUCUAUUUGAUAUUGAUAGAAGAAUAUCCUAUAAAAGAUGGGAAGGGGAGGGGGUUCGGGUGAGAGGCAUCAGACGCUAGCUCAGAUGAUAAGACGUAGCAGCUGUUAGCUUUUAGCUUCUUCAAUGUCUUCCCUCUCAUAGAUGAGGAGACGCGGACGUUAAGACAUGUAACAAGAGUUAGAUAACAAGAUACCCGAUACUACAUUCUGAGGGCUAACUUCUAAAGCAAUCACGGUAAGUUCACUUCGGGAAUCAAUACAAUAAGAUCUAAUUUUUUUGGAAUUUGAAAUAAUGUGAUGGGCGAACGACGGAAAUUCGCUGCUUUUCCCAGGCCGGAGAAGGGCAACACAUUAAUAGGUUGGUUAAUUGCCCACAAUAUCUCAAAGUCGCUUGAUGGCCGAAGCACUCCCAAGGCGGCGUUGGAAAUCAAGACCAGCUCAGAGAAUCACUGGAGAGAGCUCAGAAAGCGAAAACACAAAGGCUCCGGCUGAGAUCGCCGGAUAGGUGGGAGAGCCGUGCUUCUCCACGCCCAACGAGAUGCGCACUAAAAUAUGUCUAUGGUUAACUAAUUGCCUAGCUCCAGGAAUGGUCGAAGCCAUACCCAAUCGAAAAAGGAUGUUAUAUUCCAUUCUUUGGUCUGUAAAAUCCCUACUCUUCUUCUUUUUCUUAGCCAUCAAUGAUUAGCCUGUCCCCAGCCCAAGUUAAGUAUAAACAGUCCGAUUUUGAUCUGAAUUGUCUGCGGAAAGAAAUUGUGGGCCCCAGGAAUGGGUAUACUUAGAAAUAGAAGUCAAUCCUGAUUUCCGGUUAGUAGGAUGGAGCUAUACGCAAGCCAAUGCCAAGUGCUUUGACUUUUUAAAAAAAAGAGGUUUCAAUCUCAGGCCUUAUUUCUUUGGGGAUGAGAGGAGUGCUCUCUGAACUCACUCGAUAAUCGGGCGUUAGAGCGAUCCCUGCCGCUACCGAUUUCGGGUCUAUUAGUUGCUUCUUCCCUAGUCUCCAUAGCUAAAUGGCGAUACCCCCUGCAGUUACCUCUAAAAGGAAUGAUCUCGGGCAUCAAUCUAAAGAGAGUUUGCCACCAUUCUCUUUCUUUCCUCAAUCGUUCCGACCUUGAGUCAAAACAAUCUCUAUACUCUUCCAGCAAUUCUCAAGUCGUAGCCCGUCACCGUCUAUCGAGCAGGGUGGGGAAGAGGAAUCGACGAAGAAUCCAGUCAUCAGUCUGCAGGGAAUAGGGUAGGUUAUAUAUAAAGUGAGAUUGAAGCAAGAAGAUCUCCGAUGAAGAAGCUCCGGGAGGAGAGGGAUGUCAAGGGAUUGCUGAGACCUCAGGUAGCAGAACAUUUAUGUGGCACGGCCGGUGUACCUCCAAAGAUGGGUUAUUCAGGGGUUGAAAGUUUAGAUUUACCUAUUUUUUUCAAUUAAAUAGCUCAAAAAUAGGUGGAGUUCGCGUGGAUAGAGGACGUCGUGCACGGACGAAAGAUCAUUGAUAGCAGAAGAGUACGCUAGCUAGCUAGCGUAGCCUGAAAACACUUGCUAGGCUACGACGUUCGCCUACUUUGAUAGGCAACGCAUUGCAAGCAAAUAUCCUUUACGGGUCCUUUUCUUUCUUUUCCUUGGGUGUAGUGUCACACCCGUCUCCUAUAAGACUCUCAAGGGGUGAUGAGCCAUCCGCAAUAUGGUAGCAGUAAGCGCGCGUACUCCUUCUGCGAGACUCCAUCCAAAUCCGCAUACUUCUUCAGUCGAAUGCUCCUCUGGGCAAAAGGAAGAAUCAUUAAUCCUUAAUGUAACUAGAUAAGGUAACAAAUGUUAUUCACACGCGGAAGACAGUGAGCUAGGUUAGUUAGCGAGCUCCUAACUAACCUAGCGAACGGAACAGGAACUCUUUUCGUUUAGGGCGAAUGCGGCCUAAUUUAUAAGGCGAGAGCUAAAACCCAUGCAGUCUGAAAUCUGUAUCCGAAGGGGACAGACUUGUCGGCAACCAACUUCACUCCAGUUGGUUCGGAUAGGCUGCGACCUUACAUGAAUUGAAUAGAUGCAUUUCACGGAAUUCUGAAAUUCCGCUUCGACACCCUCUCGAAGAAGUGGUUCUCAAACCGGAACCAGAACUCUUGGAUCAGCCCGACAUUGACGGGGGGUAAAGGAUGCUAGGCUUUUAGCUCUGUUAGAUCGUUAGCUCAUUCGCUCGCUGAAAUUCUGGAAAACCGGAUUUCAGAGUAUAGGAAUAUUCCCCCUGAGGGGGACGUGUUCUUCAUGUAGCCUUCAGACCGAAUGAGUUCAGAAGUAGCUGCUCUCCUAGCUGCACAAGCACACCAUGGGCACCCAUUCUCAACCACCUGUUCAGGCUGCUGAAGGAAACUAACCAAACCAAGCGAGGAGUAAUCGAAUGUUGUUCGACUUUCUAGAGCGUUUAGCUGCAGUGGUUGCUGUUGAAACUGACAUUCGAACGGUUGACUCAGUAAAGUUGACCGUCUUCCACGCGUAGCUGUGCCCGGCCGAGGGGACUUUUUCCCCAAUGAAAUGACCCAAGCCACCACACAAUGCAAGGCUAGUGGUAUCAGUUGAGUGAAUCGGUCGAAUCUUGCCCACCAAGCGAGCCCUUUAAUUCAAUUCUUCAUUCUUUAAUUAAGAAUUAAUCAAAUCUCCGAGGUACCUGCGAAUGCUUAUGGAUGGAAACUGGCCAUCCGCCGAGAGUUUCGGGUUUAAUACCGAUAUUUUAGCAACAAAUCAUUUCGACAGAGAAAGUACGAUCUGCUUAGAUUUCCAACAAGUCUCUCUUUUUUUGGGGGUAGCAGACAAAGAAUAAAAAAAAAAUGCUUUCGUCCAUCUGGCCUAGUCGAAGAUUUCGAAAUACGACUUUUUUAACCGUAUAGUUCCAGCGCCAAAGCCGUCGAAAGGUAACUGAUGCAAAGAAGGAAAGGUAACUGAUGCAAAGAAGGAGCUGUUCAAGUGAGCUUAUUAGUGGCACGCUUUCGAAUCGGUGAGCAGUUCAGUAAGCAAAGUAGUUCGGGUGAGGAGGGUUUGGCGAAGAUUUGUUCCACUUUUGGAAGACCUUGUGUUAUGUCACCAGAUCUCGAUUUUUCAUAUACAAAUGUAACUAAUGUAUCUCCUUCGUAAAGGAUUUCUCAGGAAAAAUCAGACUUCCGCUUAAGUCCCAGUUUGAGGCGGUCAUUAAUGAAUUCUUCCUUUCAGUUCUCUUCGAUGAAAAGGGGGGGGGGGGUACCCCCACAGGAAUGGAAUACCUUUUCCUCUUCCUUUGACUGCUUCUUUACUGCUCAAGCGCAUCCUCUAGUUCUGGUUCCACCUUGUUGAAGAUUUGGUGGUGCUACCCGAAGACUUAAAUGAAUAGCCAUUGCUGUUAAGAACAACCGAGAGGCCGCCUAGCUCGUUAUUCUUUGAGAUCUGGCUCCCCCUAGUGAGUCCAUUGAUGAAAAGCCAAAUGCUUUGAUUCUGGAUGUCCUCCUCCCCGAAUCUGCCAAUCCUAUCUUUCGAUCUGGAGAUCGAACUAAGUGAAAGUCCGAGUAUUCAGUCCAGGAGAGUUUGGUAUGAAAAGUUAGAGAGUCUCUCUGUACCAAAUAAGACCUUUCCAGAUGCAGGAUAUUUAUCGGAUGGGCUGUCUAUUUCACCAGAAUAGUCAUCUGUCACACUGGUGGUACUUCUUGUUGAAUUAAAAGAUUGGAUUAGUCUUUCUGUACCCACCCGCCAUCCCUGUUUGAGAGUGAUUAAAUAUCAAUAGGGGAAUUUGUCGAACGAACCGCACUCCUUCGUAUAUGUCAGGAGUCUAUUGAUGAAAAGGGGUUGGGGAAAGCUUGAACCCAAUUUCUACAGUGAUGGAUAUAAGGACAAUUGAAAUUCCUGGGGAGUUAUACAUUUAUGUAUUGAUAAGACCAUUCACUAUUUCUUGAAGCUCGAUCUCCCCCCCAGAUAAACCAUAUAGCCAAGAUAAACCAUGAACCAGAAUAGAAGAGCUUGCCCCACCCAUGAGUA
rnacentral:lncRNA from 1 species